CCAGGAUAUUGCUGCAAAGGUAUGCUGGGGAGGGUGGAUUCUGGCUCCCACACUUUAGAGAGCUCUGCAAGAAGAGAGAAGCUGCAGGGCACAGAGCUGCUCCACUCUCAUCAAGAAACACCUUCAGUCGAGGAGACAGAGAACACCAGAUAAUGUUGGCUUGUUUGCAGGGGUGAUAUUUUUCCCAGUUACUGUCGCUUUCUCUCUGUAGACUUCCUCUUGUCUUAUUGACCAGAAUUAGGACACACGGCCAGUCCUAGCUGCGAAGAAAGCUUGGAAAUUGGAGGGUAAGAUUAUUAUAAGCACUUGGACCAGUCAUGAUCCAUGACCAGGAACUGGGCCCACUGCCACCCACACAAAGUCAUGGUUCCAUCAGCAAGAGAGAAGGGGGAAAUUAGUCAACAAAAGAUGCAGGGCUUACUUGACUAUAACCUACAGAAGAUGGUUUCUCCGGUUAAAGGCAUAUGGACUCAACAUGUCACCGGAAGGAAAACACCAGCUGGUCUUACAGCUCUUGAACGGGCAGCUCACCCAGAGACACCACGCUGCAGGGCUUCUCUGCACCAACGUUCUUUCAGGGCCUGUGGAGAAAAUAUGGACGUUAGCAGUCAGAAAACAUGCUCGGGACACAGCAUUCGUGGCCGAGCUUCCCACAGCAGUGUGUAUGAACACCGCAGCUCCUCAUGGAACAAUUCUGUCCUCACCAAGCAACAUGAGACAACAAGGAAACACUUUCUGCCCCAGAAAUGUCCUUCCAUCACUUCCAGUUAAAAAUCACAUUUCUCCAAGAUUCUACCCACUCCCAUACACCUCAGCCUGGCUAAGGAAAUGAUUGGAAACUUAAAUCUGAGAGAAAAAGCUGACAUUUUACGAUAACGGGGAAAAGUUAUCCUCAAAUACUGCCUGUGGUAUUAAAAAUGGAAUUCAGAUAAGCUUCUUUGGGCCGCUCUGAUAGACUGGUUUCAUUUUGCUGGAAGAAAUCCUGGGAAUACACCCUCACUCUCAUC
rnacentral:lncRNA from 1 species